GUGGGGAAUUUUGGACAAUGGGCGCAAGCCUGAUCCAGCAAUGCCGCGUGCAGGAAGAAGGCCUUCGGGUUGUAAACUGCUUUUGUACGGAACGAAACGGUCCGGGUUAAUACCCUGGGCUAAUGACGGUACCGUAAGAAUAAGCACCGGCUAACUACGUGCCAGCAGCCGCGGUAAUACGUAGGGUGCAAGCGUUAAUCGGAAUUACUGGGCGUAAAGAGUGCGCAGGCGGUUUUGUAAGACAGGCGUGAAAUCCCCGGGCUCUACCUGGGAAUUGCGCUUGUGACUGCAAGGCUGGAGUGCGGCAGGGGGGGAUGGAAUUCCGCGUGUAGCAGUGAAAUGCGUAGAUAUGCGGAGGAACACCGAUGGCGAAGGCAAUCCCCUGGGCCUGCACUGACGCUCAUGCACGAAAGCGUGGGGAGCAAACAGGAUUAGAAACCCGGGUAGUCC
rnacentral:rRNA from 1 species